GACGAACGCUGGCGGCGUGCUUAACACAUGCGAGUCGAACGGUAAGGCCCUUCGGGGUACACGAGUGGCGAACGGGUGAGUAACACGUGGGUGAUCUGCCCUGCACUUCGGGAUAAGCCUGGGAAACUGGGUCUAAUACCGGAUAGGACCACUGCCUGCAUGGGUGGUGGUGGAAAGCUUUUGCGGUGUGGGAUGGGCCCGCGGCCUAUCAGCUUGUUGGUGGGGUGCUGGCCUACCAAUGCGCCGACGGGUAGCCGGCCUGAGAGGGUGACCGGCCACACUGGGACUGGGAUACGGCCCAGACGCCUACGGGAGGCAGCAGUGGGGAAUAUUGCACAAUGGGCGCAAGCCUGAUGCAGCGACGCCGCGUGAGGGAUGACGGCCUUCGGGUUGUAAACCUCUUUCAGCACCGACGAAGCGCAAGUGACGGUAGGUGCAGAAGAAGGACCGGCCAACUACGUGCCAGCAGCCGCAGUAA
rnacentral:rRNA from 1 species